AUACGGAGGGUCCAAGCGUUAUCCGGCAUCAUUGGGUUUAAAGGGUCCGCAGGCGGUCAAUUAAGUCAGAGGUGAAAGCCCAUCGCUCAACGAUGGAACUGCCUUUGAUACUGGUUGACUUGAGUUAUACGGAAGUAGAUAGAAUAAGUAGUGUAGCGGUGAAAUGCAUAGAUAUUACUUAGAAUACCGAUUGCGAAGGCAGUCUACUACGUAUAUACUGACGCUGAGGGACGAAAGCGUGGGGAGCGAACAGGAUUAGAAACCCUAGUAGUCC
rnacentral:rRNA from 1 species